AUUGAACGCUGGCGGCAUGCCUUACACAUGCAAGUCGAACGGCAGCACGGGGCAACCUGGUGGCGAGUGGCGAACGGGUGAGUAAUGCAUCGGAACGUACCUUUCAGUGGGGGAUAACGUAGCGAAAGUUACGCUAAUACCGCAUAUUCUGUGAGCAGGAAAGCAGGGGAUCGCAAGACCUUGCGCUGAUUGAGCGGCCGAUGUCAGAUUAGCUAGUUGGUGAGGUAAAGGCUCACCAAGGCGACGAUCUGUAGCGGGUCUGAGAGGAUGAUCCGCCACACUGGAACGGAGACACGGUCCAGACUCCUACGGGAGGCAGCAGUGGGGAAUUUUGGACAAUGGGGGCAACCCUGAUCCAGCCAUGCCGCGUGAGUGAAGAAGGCCUUCGGGUUGUAAAGCGCUUUCGGCCGGGAAGAAAUCGCACGGGCUAAUACCCUGUGUGGAUGACGGUACCGGAAUAAGAAGCACCGGCUAACUACGUGCCAGCCGCCGCAGUAACAC
rnacentral:rRNA from 1 species